CUCGGGAAGAGGAAGAAAAGACCGUGUAAGAGCAGUGGGAAUGAAAACAUCGAGGAAAGACUAGUUCACUGGUUUCCACCCGUAAAGGGUGGAAAUUUAGUGAGGUGUUUCCUGAUGCCUCUCAUUCCUAUUGUUUUUACGCGCUCCUUCCUUUUCCUUUGGCUC
rnacentral:pre_miRNA from 2 species